rnacentral:rRNA from 1 species
UACGUAGGGGGCGAGCGUUGUCCGGAGUUACUGGGCGUAAAGGGCAUGCAGGCGGUCGGACGCGUUUCGGGUGACAGCGGGUGGCUUAACUACCCGAGUGGUCGAAAGACGGUUUGACUUGAGGACGCGAGAGGGACACGGAAUUCCGGGUGGAGUGGUGAAAUGCGUAGAGAUCCGGAGGAACACCGACGGCGAAAGCACUCUGCUGGGCCGACACUGACACUGAGAGACGAAAGCUAGGGGAGCGAAUGGG